rnacentral:rRNA from 1 species
CCUAGGGUGGCAGCAGUGGGGAAUAUUGGACAAUGGGGGAAACCCUGAUCCAGCAAUGCCGCGUGUGUGAAGAAGGCCUGCGGGUUGUAAAGCACUUUCGGUUGGGAGGACUGCUUCUAGCACUAAUAUUGUUGGAAGUUGACGUUACCUUCAGAAGAAGCACCGACUAACUCCGUGCCAGCAGCCGCGGUGGAAUACGGAGGGUGCAAGCGUUAAUCGGAAUUACUGGGCGUAAAGCGCGCGUAGGCGGCUAGAUCAGUCGGGUGUGAAAGCCCCGGGCUUAACCUGGGAGCUGCAUCCGAUACUGUCUAGCUUGAGUACAGGAGAGGAGAGUGGAAUUCCACAUGUAGCGGUGAAAUGCGUAGAUAUGUGGAGGAACACCAAUGGCGAAGGCAGCUCUCUGGCCUGAUACUGACGCUGAGGUGCGAAAGCGUGGGGAGCAAACAGGAUUAGAUACCCUUGUAGUC